GAUGGAGUGAUGGAGUGCAGGGGCGUGACCUCAGCUCACUGCAACCUUCACCUCCCAGGUUCAAGUGAUUCUCCUGCCUCUGCCUCCCGAAUAGCUGGGAUUACAGGUAUGCACUACUACACUGGGCUAAGUUUUGUAUUUUCAGUAGAGAUGGGGUUUCACCACUUGGCCAGGCUGGUCUCGAACUUCUGACCUCAAGCAAUCCUCCCGCCUUAGGCUCCCAAAGUGGUGGGAUUACAGGCCUGAACCACAGGGCCCAGCCUUGGCUUGUGGUUCUUUUACUAAAUAUGGAAUAGCGAUAAAGCUUAUGUAUCAUAUUUGUAAAAGAAAGCUAGGCACAUGAAGCAGAAUUAAUUCAUGAGGGAAAAUAUUUAUUUUACUCUCAAGUCUCCCGAAAGUUAUUGUAUUCAUUUAAACUCAAUUUCUAAUUUUUUUAGUUACCCAAAUACUAUUGCAUUAAAUGCAUUAAAGAGAGCAUUGUACCUAGCAGAUAUGUGAGAAACAGUUUGACUUUUUAACCACUAAAAAAUGUCCAAAUAUCAGAAUUUAUUUUAUUUUAAAUUUCAAAAAAAUCCUUAUUUUAUAUGAUAAAAAUCAAGUUGAUUUGUAAGUCAUAUAUAUCAGCUUAUUAUCAAGAACUAUUGCUAUGUAAAAGAACUUAGGACUGUGUAAUUAGAACUAUGUAAUAGAAAUAUUUACAGAAGACUAUAUCUGCCAACAUGAGAUACUCUACCACCAUAACUUAUAUCAAUGACUCUUGUUCUAUCAUCGUGUGCAUUAUAAAUAGUGCAAAAUUUCAAGAAAUUUCCAUUUUGAGAUAUAAGAAAUCAAUAUGCUGGGAAAACUAAUAUCAAACUCUGAAGUAGAUAUAUUUCAUUUUAUAUAUAUUUUAAAUGACCUUUAACUAAAGGUUAAAUUGGAUUGACACACUGAAGAUAAAUUUUUUUAUUAUUAUCAUCAUUAAAUUAUUAUUUUGUGACUAUUACUAUUCAACUAACACUACAUCUGAUAAUAUAAUGAUAAACACAUUCCUUUUUUAUAUUAACUAGCAUUUUUUUCGAGUUUCUUAAAGCUUUGUUUGCAACUCUGGAUGAUUUAUGUGGGACAUGAUAAAACCAAUCUCCACACAGGCUAAUUUGAGACCUGGCAUCAUUGUCUCUCUCUGAACAAUCUGGAAGCUUUUUUAUGGUAGUGAAUUGCUCAUUUGGGGUGCGAGGAUUGAAGCAGGCAAGUGUCUGGGUCAUUAUGUGCUCAGCCAUGUCUUACAUAGGUGUUUGGAUUUGUAUAGCACUGGUUAAUCUGUAAUGUGUUUUAAUUUAGAGACAUAAAUUCUGGCCAGAAUUCUAUGCUUUAAUUAAAUAGUGUCAAGGGAUUGAUCGCAGCAUAUUGAUCCAUAACUGAACAUUUUAUCCAUGAAGUCACAGGUCCAGUGAGUCAUCAUUGCCUAGAAUACCCUACUUCAAACAAUGAAACUCACUUUCAAUCUAUCAUCAUCUUUCACUCUUCAGUGAAACCCCAUGUAGCUUCCAGAUGUGGUUUCAGGAUUUCUCUAUAUUGUUGGAGAGCAUUUAGGGCUCAAGAGAAAUCAUUGCUGCUUUAGCGCCUGGAGAAGAGCUACAGCUCAGGUGUUCAAUAGAAGAGAUGCACACAGGCAUCUAUGUUGUCAGCAAGCUAGCACUAUCAAAGCAUCUGGAGACAACAAUAGGAGUCAAGGAUACCAUCUCUAGCACAGAUCCCCGAACAAGAACCUGAGACCUGCCGAACAGCAGGUGCCAAAGAUGCUGCUGUAACACCACAGCCCUCCCAUCUUCCAUCCUCCACUGGCGCUGAGUGGCAGUCCCAUGUGACAGGAAGUGGAGGCAGAGCUGGGCCAGCCCAGGAGCCACGUGCUGGAGCCAGAUACUCUGUUUUUCUACAAAUGGAAAGUUUGUGGCAUCCUUGACUCAAGCAAAUUUUUCAGCACCAUUUUUCAAGAGCGUGUGCUCACUUCACCUCUCUGUAUCGUGUUUUGAUGCUUGUCCUGGAAACCAACCAUGAGCUGUGAUGAAAUCCAGGCAACUGAGUUGUGUUUCAGCCCAAAGCAGCAAAUGGAAUCCAGCUUCAGGACCAUCAUCUGACAUAGGGGAAGAAGACUUACAUAGAAGGCCUAACCAGCACCCAAGAUCAUGCUCAUAGGUGGAGGAGACUUGCUUUGUCUCAGAUGAGACUUUGGACUGUGGACUUUUGAGUUAAUGCUGAAAUGAGUUGAGACUUUGGGGAACUGUUGGGAAGGCAUGAUUGGUUUUAAAUAUGAAUAUAUGAGAUUUGGGAGGGGGUCAGGGGUGGAAUGAUAUGGUUUGGCUCUGUGUCCCCACCCAAAUCUCAUCUUGUAGCUCCCAUAAUCCUCCCAUGUUGUGGGAGGGACCCAGUGGGAGAUGAUUGAAUCAUGAGGGCGGGUCUUUCUCAUGCUGUUCAUGAUCCCAUUCAUGUGAGAAAGACCCAUGUGAUCAUGAAUGGGUCUCACAAGAUCUGAUGGUGUUAAAAAUGGGAGUUUCUCUGCACAAGCUCUCUGCCUGCUGCCAUUCACAAAGGAUGUGACUUGCUUCUCCUUGCCUUCUGCUAUGAUUGUGAGGCCUCCCUAGCCAUGUGGAACUGUGAGUCCAAUUAAACCUCUUUCUUUUGUAAAUU
rnacentral:lncRNA from 10 species